rnacentral:rRNA from 1 species
UACGUAGGGUGCGAGCGUUAAUCGGAAUUACUGGGCGUAAAGCGUGCGCAGGCGGUAAUGUAAGACAGAUGUGAAAUCCCCGGGCUUAACCUGGGACCUGCAUUUGUGACUGCAUUGCUGGAGUGCGGCAGAGGGGGAUGGAAUUCCGCGUGUAGCAGUGAAAUGCGUAGAUAUCGGGAGGAACAUCGAUGGCGAAAGCAACCGCCUGGGCCUGAACUGACACUGAGACACGAAAGCGUGGGGAGCAAACAGG